GUCUGAUAAAAAGUGAUAAAUUGUAAAUUUAUUAAUGGGGUUACUACUCCUUUUACUAGGUAAAAU
rnacentral:tRNA from 1 species